GAUGAACGCUGGCGGCGUGCCUAAUACAUGCAAGUCGAGCGAAUGGAUUAAGAGCUUGCUCUUAUGAAGUUAGCGGCGGACGGGUGAGUAACACGUGGGUAACCUGCCCAUAAGACUGGGAUAACUCCGGGAAACCGGGGCUAAUACCGGAUAACAUUUUGAACCGCAUGGUUCGAAAUUGAAAGGCGGCUUCGGCUGUCACUUAUGGAUGGACCCGCGUCGCAUUAGCUAGUUGGUGAGGUAACGGCUCACCAAGGCAACGAUGCGUAGCCGACCUGAGAGGGUGAUCGGCCACACUGGGACUGAGACACGGCCAGACUCCUACGGAAGGCAGCAGUAGGGAAUCUUCCGCAAUGGACGAAAGUCUGACGGAGCAACGCCGCGUGAGUGAUGAAGGCUUUCGGGUCGUAAAACUCUGUUGUUAGGGAAGAACAAGUGCUAGUUGAAUAAGCCGGCGCCUUGGCGGUACCUAACCAGAAAGCCACGGCUAACUACGUGCCAGCCGCCGCAGUAA
rnacentral:rRNA from 1 species